rnacentral:lncRNA from 1 species
CUAAAUGCACUAUUCCUCAGCUCCAGGUUUUAUUUUUGAGAAAAUAAGAUGAGAAAGAAAGAUAGAAUUAUAAUAAUAAUAAAAAUAAAAUAAAAUAAGAGAUAACUAUCAAAUAUCUGGCUCAAGAAAAAGCUUGCAGGAUAAACAUCACACACCUCCUCCACAUGUCUCAUACUUGAACAGAAAAAUCAUAUUAUUGAAAAAAUAACCGCUCACACAUAAUGUGUGAAGACAUCCAUUCAUUAUUUUCUCCUUUUUUUAAUAGAUCUUGAAGGACAAGAGAAAAUAAAAACUUACAAAGAAUAGGCAGAAUAAUAACACAGCAUAAAUCAUGACAUCAAUCAUUGCAACACUAUUUCUCCAAAGAAAAUAAAUUCUCAUAUUUGAUUGGGAGAACAGGUUUCCUUGUUAUGAUACUCAUCGAUAUAUUUCCAUCUCUUUAUAACAUUCAAAUAAAAGCCCCCUGAUGAUCCUAUAUCGCCCAAAUAGCAAGCCUUGUAAAGGGUGAAAUUUGAAGUUAAAAGUAUCCUAAAACUAGUCGAGUUAGCAAACCUAAGGAAUGAAAUUUCAUGCUCCUCCAAAGAAGAAAUGAUGGUAAAAAGAGUGCUAGCUCGAUGCAAAACUAGAAAAUUUUAGGAACACUUGAAAAUGGCCAUGACCUUCACAGUAAAAAAAUAAAAGAAAAAAAACCUAGCAUCACAGCCCAAUAGCACCCAUCAAACCAUACUUUUCUACUCCCAUAUUCUGAUCAAGAAAUCCUUUCUUACUUCGGAGUAAUAAGUUCUCAUUUAGACUUCUACACCCAAGAAAUGUUCUUCAAGCUUUCUUCCAAACCUAGACUCUGUCCAGAAUUAGGUGCCCCCAUAUUUUCUUGGGAACAAUUACAUUGACUAUAGUACUUUGGCCACGAACCAAUUAUUCUUUUGGCUUAAUCAAUUCAUAGCCUGAUACAUUGUUCUUCGGAAACUUAAGAUAAGGGCCAAUUGGGAGCGGACAACUUGGUUAGGUUAUUUUGUUUAUUUACCAAGUUUAAAGGUACAAGAGAACCCCAAGAAUUUGCAUGCCUAUUCUCUUGGACAGGGAGAAUUAGUACACUUAACAAAAAAAAUGUUUGUUCCAGUCGAUUUUUCUUAAUUCUUAUUCAUGUUCCGAAAAAUGAACUAAGAACACCAACCAAUUGAGAUUUUGGCUAGAACAACAUCUGAUGAGGCCAGGACGGCUA